rnacentral:rRNA from 1 species
AUUGAACGCUGGCGGCAGGCCUAACACAUGCAAGUCGGACGAGUGGCGGACGGGUGAGUAAUGUUUGGGCAUCUGGCUUAUGGCGGGGGAUAACUACUGGAAACUGUAGCUAAUACCGCAUACCAUCAGAUGAGCCCAUGUGGGAUUAGGUUGUAGGUGAGGUAAAGGCUCACCAAGCCGACGAUCCCUAGCUGGUCUGAGAGGAUGAUCAGCCACACGGGGACUGAGAAACGGCCCAGGCUCCGAAGGGAGGCAGCAGGGGGGAAUAUGGCACAAUGGGCGAAAGCCUGACGCAGCCAGGCCGCGUGAAUGAAGAAGGCCUUCGGGUUGUAAAGUGAUUUCCGUAGUGAGGCGGUAGCUACAGAAGAAGCACCGGCUAACUCCGUGCCAGCAGCCGCGGUAAUAC